UUAAACGUCCAUACCGCGUUAAAUACUGCGGUUCUCGUCCGAUCACCGAAAUUAAGCAACGUCGGGCGCCGUUAGUACUUGGAUGGGUGGCCGCCUGGGAACACCGAGUGACAUUAGCU
rnacentral:rRNA from 1 species